CACCAUCCCAUCUGGUGGCCCUGCACCCUAGGUUACAGAUAACCUCUGCAGGAACAACGGUGUUCUUCUUUCCCGUGAAUAAUUUGGAAUUUUUUUAAUGUGUUCCCUAAAGCCAAGGAACUGGAAACUACCAAAAUCUGAGGUACCGGGAACUGGUCUUCUGUGAUCUGCCCUUUGAUGGAUAAGGACAACACCUGAGCACCCUUCAGCCCCUCCUGCUUUGCAGUAACUUGACUCUCUGAGAACUCAGUCAUUGAAAUACCCAGGAUAAUGGACAAAGGGGAUCUCCUACAUGAUGUAAUUUCACAC